rnacentral:rRNA from 1 species
GUGGAUUAGAUACCCUGGUAGUCCAUGCUGUAAACGAUGAUUACUAGGUGUGGGCUGGAAACAGUCCGUGCCGCAGUUAACACAAUAAGUAAUCCACCUGGGGAGUACGGCCGCAAGGCUGAAACUCAAAGGAAUUGACGGGGGCCCGCACAAGCAGUGGAGUAUGUGGUUUAAUUCGAAGCAACGCGAAGAACCUUACCAGGUCUUGACAUCGUAUGCAUACCUAAGAGAUUAGGGAAGUCCUUCGGGACAUAUAGACAGGUGGUGCACGGUCGUCGCCAACU